rnacentral:rRNA from 1 species
CACAGGAGGCUCGAGUGGUACCCACGAAUACUGGGUCUAAAGCGUUCGUAGCCGGUCUUUCAAGUCCGCUGUGAAAUCCUCAAGCCUAACUUGGGGGCGUGCAGCGGAUACUGUGAGACUUGAGAACGGGGGAGGUCAGGGGUACUCCUAAAGUAGAGGUAAAAUUCAAUGAUAUUAGGAGGACCAACGGUGGCGAAGGCGCCUGACCAAAACAUAUCUGACGGUGAGGAACGAAGGCUAGGGGA